GAUGAAGAACGCAGCGAAAUGCGAUAAGUAGUGUGAAUUGCAGAAUUCAGUGAAUCAUCGAAUCUUUGAACGCACAUUGCGCCCCUUGGUAUUCCAUGGGGCAUGCCUGUUCGAGCGUCAUUUGUACCUUCAAGCUUUGCUUGGUGUUGGGUGUUUGUCUCGCCUUUGCGUGUAGACUCGCCUUAAAAUAAUUGGCAGCCGGCGUAUUGAUUUCGGAGCGCAGUACAUCUCGCGCUUUGCACUCAUAACGAAAGCGUCCAAAAGUACAUUUUACACUCUUGACCUCGGAUCAGGUAGGGAUACCCGCUGAACUUAAGCAUAUCAAUAAGCGGAGGA
rnacentral:misc_RNA from 1 species